rnacentral:rRNA from 1 species
AACGAACGCUGGCGGCAGGCUUAAUACAUGCAAGUCGAACGGGCGCAGCAAUGCGUCAGUGGCAGACGGGUGAGUAACACGUGGGAACCUUCCUCGUUGUACGGAACAACUCAGGGAAACUUGAGCUAAUACCGUAUAAGUCCGAGAGGAGAAAGAUUUAUCGCAAUGAGACGGGCCCGCGUCGGAUUAGGUAGUUGGUGAGGUAACGGCUCACCAAGCCAACGAUCCGUAGCUGAUCUGAGAGGAUGAUCAGCCACACUGGGACUGAGACACGGCCCAGACUCCUACGGGAGGCAGCAGUAGGGAAUCUUGGACAAUGGGCGCAAGCCUGAUCCAGCCAUGCCGCGUGAGUGAAGAAGG